CUGGUUAUGGCAGAGGAUAUAGAGAAAGGCUAUUGGGAAAUUGGGGAAUCGUGGAUGUUAAUGACUGCUGCAAUUGUGCCAAAUUUUUGGUUGACAGCGGAAGGGUUGACGGUGAAAGACUUUGUAUUACAGGGAGUUCAGCUGGUGGUUAUACAACAUUAGCGGCACUUGCAUUUAAAGAUGUGUUCAAGGCUGGAGCUUCCUUGUAUGGUAUUGGUGAUCUGCAAUUGCUGAGAGCAGAAACUCACAAGUUCGAAUCUCACUAUACUGACAAUCUAGUUGGGGACGAAAAGGCAUAUUUUGAGAGGUCGCCUAUCAAUUUUGUAGACCACUUUUCCUGCCCCAUUAUUUUAUUUCAGGGAUUGGAGGACAAGGUAGUUUCACCUGAUCAAGCACGGAAAAUCUACCAAGCGUUGAAGGAAAAAGGAUUGCCUGUUGCACUCGUUGAAUAUGAAGGAGAGCAGCAUGGUUUCUGUAGGGCUGAAAACAUUAAAUUCACACUUGAACAACAGAUGGUGUUCUUUGCGCGUUUGGUGGGACGUUUUGAUGUGGCUGAUGAAGUUACCCCAGUCAACAUUGAUAAUUUUGAGUGAGGUAUACAACCACCGGAUGCUCUUUGCCAUAAUAGGUUGUUCAAUACCUGUUUGCCGUAACUAGGAAAAUUUUGAUGAUGGAGAGAGAAGAAACAAGAUGAUCUAAUUUUCCGGGGUGGUAAAUCGGCAAUGAUCAGAAUUUAAAAGUACUAAAUCAUUCUAAAA
rnacentral:misc_RNA from 1 species